UCCACCGAAUAGGCCACGUAAAUUUGGUCGAGUUGGGACCUUAAAUUGGAAAACAAGAUGUGAAAGUACGCUCCAAUCAACCUUUACUGUUUGUAGAGGACAGCUAUGUGGAAACUCACAGACCCUUGAAGCCUGUCUUUGAACCCCAAGAUAAGCACCUCUACUCUUAGAGGCGAGAAAUGCAACAACCCCGAGGAUGGUACCUUUAAAG